GGGGUCGAUUAUGGUUUCGACGGGAUUAAUGUGGUAUGGACUGCAAGUCGAGGCACACGUAAAUGCAUCAGUUCAAAUAACUGGAAACAAAAUUAAAAAUACUCUUGCAACUCUUUUCAACAGAAAUGCAGUUGCUUUUGCCUAAUCUAAUUUAGACAGAGAGUGCUUCUUCCUAUCUUCUCCUACGGGAUAGAUAAGAGGCUUAUUUAGUAGGAUAUAUUACUAUGACGCCUAUAAAUAGUAAUGAAUCUUAUAGGCUGGCUAUGUAGUUAGCUCGUUAAUUAGUUUAUUACAUAGUAAGAUCAAAUAAUUAACUAAACUUGUAGAUGUCUAUACUGAGUUUUUUUCGGACGGGAGUUCGACUCUCCCCGGCUCCACCA
rnacentral:tmRNA from 1 species